rnacentral:tRNA from 1 species
AGGUGCGCCGCCAGGGACUCGAACCCCGGACCCGCUGAUUAAGAGUCAGCUGCUCUAACCAACUGAGCUAGCGGCGC